rnacentral:rRNA from 1 species
UACAGAGGGUGCGAGCGUUAAUCGGAUUUACUGGGCGUAAAGGGCGCGUAGGCGGUUAUGUAAGUGAGAUGUGAAAUCCCUGGGCUUAACCUAGGAACUGCAUCUCAUACUGUGUAGCUAGAGUAUUGUAGAGGGUAGUGGAAUUUCCGGUGUAGCGGUGAAAUGCGUAGAUAUUGGGAAGAACACCGGUGGCGUAGGCGACUAGCUGGGCCAUAACUGACGCUGAGGCGCGAGAGCGUGGGGAGCAAACAGG